rnacentral:piRNA from 1 species
UGGGUCCAGCCACUCAAAUCUAGGAGGAGC